rnacentral:lncRNA from 1 species
UAUUUUUUCUUUUAUAGCUCUCAAAUCCUGGGACUAAAAGGCAUAGAAUCCCUUGUGAUGGAUCAAUUCAUGUUGCUCAUUGUGUCCUUGAACUGACAUAGAUCCAUCUGGCUGUUUCCUGAAUCCUGGGGUUAAAGGUGUGUGCCACCAUUGCCUGGCUCUAUGGCUUGCUAAAAUGGUUGCUGGGAUUAAAGACUUGUAUCACCACUCCCUGGUUCCAUGGCUUAUAGCUAGCUUUGCUUUCUACACGUGCAGAAAAGAAGAUUUGGUCAACAGUGUAGUUGGGUUUUGGGAUAAGGAUAUCCAACCAGAAGACAAAUACAUACUUGGGGGUAAUAUAGAAGUACCAAAUUAGAUAUAUGGAACUGUUCCUGGUAUCUGGAAGCUGAGAAGUCCUGAGGAUAAUAAGGAUGCUUCAUGUCUUAGAUGGAAGUCGAGCUCAAGAAGAGAGAAAGGGGUCUUGUUUCCCACCCACACCUAAAAUAACCAGGGAACAAAACUCCAAAGGACACCAAGGUGAUCCAAGCUGUGCAGCGAUGUGCAACUGGAAAAAUGAGGUCUGGCAGACAGAUUCACAACUCGAUGAGGAGCAUUUGGUGACAGAUAUUGACCACAGGGCUUUUCACGUGCUCCACCACCCUGAGCCUCAUCCACAGCCAAGAACAUGUAUUUUGGAAUCCACAGAACAAUUACAUCUCUUUGGUGUUGAUAUCUGUCCUAGAUCACCGGUUUUAAAAUAAUUGUUAACAGUUAAGUGGCAUAAUUAUUUUUUAAAAUGAAAAUAACUUUAAAAUCCUGUAAAAGAAUAUGAUUCAGCAAUGGUGAAUAUUCAAAGAUGCUAUUUGUCAU